GUAGCUUAGUGGUUAGAGUGUCCACCUCGGAUGCGGAGGGUCGCCGCUUCUAAACCGGCCGAGUCA